rnacentral:rRNA from 1 species
UACAGAGACUGCAAGCGUUAUUCGGAUUCACUGGGCGUAAAGGGUGCGCAGGCGGUUGGGUGUGUCAGAUGUGAAAUCCCGAGGCUUAACCUCGGAACUGCGUAUAAAACUACUCGACUAGAGUAUUGGAGAGGGUAACGGAAUUCACGGUGUAGCAGUGAAAUGCGUAGAUAUCGUGAGGAACACCAGAGGCGAAGGCGGUUCACUGGACAAUUACUGACGCUCAGGCACGAAAGCAUGGGGAGCAAAAGGG